GCCCCAUAACACCCCUUUUUCUUUGUAUAAAAGACUUCAAUAGCUCAUAAAAGGUCAUUUUCCAAAAUUUGAGCAAUUUCUUAAUUUUUGUUCUUUGGAUUUGAGACCCAAAUAAUACCAAUGCAAAUGUAAGGUAAAAGUCUGAGUCAGCCUUUUCCCGCUUUUUUUAAAAACUCAAAUAUCUCGAAAAGGAGGUCCAUGACCUAUCAAUAUUUUUAGCUUAUUUUGUUCCUUAACUGGUACUCUUUCAAAAUGUAGUAUCAAUUUUAAUUUCUUGAUUUUUUAAAUUUCACCUAAGUACAUCUUUAAAUCUCUUUUAUCUCAGAAGGGUAACAACAAUUUUGUGUUUUUCUGUGUUACACAAUCACUCAAACUCCACUUUGUGGUGCAAUGGCAAAUGAAAAUUGUAAACAUAAGUCAUGAAUUUAAACCAAUGAAGGCUUGAGAACCUGUAAACCAAAUGUUCUCUAUGCACAAUGGUAUGUAUUUAGAGAAACAUUUGGGACAUUGAAUUCUGCAUUUUAAUGUGAGUACAUAACAGGUAUUAUUACAAACACAUUUUGAUCAUGAAGUGUGCUAAUUAUUACAAUGUGGUGUAUAAACCAGUUGUUAGAAUGUAAAAGAGUUGGUUACAUGGAUGAGAAAUAAUAAAAAUUAUUAUAAAAUGAUUUUAUAUAUUUACAAGCACAGCCUGUGAUGAGCACAGUUGAGAAAAUACUCUACAACAAUCAAUGUUAUAAAACAUUAAUAAAUUAACACUCCCAACAAUAUACAUUCAUAAACAAUCAAAGCAAUAAAACAAUCACUCAUAAAUAAACAAUCACUCAUAAAUAAAAAAAUCACUCCCAUAAAAUCAAGUUCCAGACCUGAUAAAAAAAAAAUUAAAAUCUACUGCAUAAUGAUUCAAUCAACACAAAAACAGAUUUUUUUGGGCCAAACUCUGUGUGUAAUGAGAAUGAUUUUUUUCUAAAUAAAAAAAAACAUCCUGCAAGAUGGUAAAAAAAAAUGUGUAGGACAAAAUGUCUAAAAAUAUACUUCUAUAUAUACAAUGAUAGCCAGUAUCUCCAAAAAGUCUCUAAAUUUGAUAUGUAUUUGGUCAAUCAAAUGUACAAAAUGACUGAACGAAAUGUUCCAAAUUGUAUUUAUCUCAUACUGAUUAAGGAGGGUG
rnacentral:lncRNA from 1 species